UAUCACUCUCCAUGUCAGCCCUUCCA
rnacentral:piRNA from 1 species